UACGGGGGGGGCAAGCGUUGUUCGGAAUUACUGGGCGUAAAGGGUUCGUAGGUGGCUUGCUAAGUCAGACGUGAAAUCCCUCAGCUUAACUGGGGAACUGCGUCUGAGACUGGUGAGCUUGAGUGCAGGAGAGGAACGCGGAAUUCCAGGUGUAGCGGUGAAAUGCGUAGAUAUCUGGAGGAACACCGGUGGCGAAGGCGGCGUUCUGGACUGCUACUGACACUGAGGAACGAAAGCCAGGGGAGCAAACGGGAUUAGAUACCCCGGUAGUCCUGGCCCUAAACGAUGAAUGCUUGGUGUGGCGGGUAUCGAUCCCUGCCGUGCCGCAGUUAACGCGUUAAGCAUUCCGCCUGGGGAGUACGGUCGCAAGGCUG
rnacentral:rRNA from 1 species